CAAGUCGAGCGAGAUUUUUUGUUGUAGCAAUACAGUGGAAAGUCUAGCGGCGAACGGGUGCUUAACACGUGGGCAACCUGCCAAGAAGUGGGGGAUAGCUCGCCGAAAGGCGAAUUAAUACCGCAUGUGAUUAGAGAGGACAUCCUUUCGAAAUUAAAGCUGGGGCAACCUAGCGCUUCUUGUGGGGGCCCGCGGCCUAUCAGCUAGUUGGUGAGGUAACGGCUCACCAAGGCUUUGACGGGUAGCUGGUCUGAGAGGACGACCAGCCACACUGGGACUGAGACACGGCCCAGACACCUACGGGUGGCAGCAGUCGAGAAUUUUUGACAAUGGGGGAAACCCUGAUCGAGCGACGCCGCGUGGAGGAUGAAGGUCUUCGGAUUGUAAACCCCUGUCAUUGGGGAACAAUGCCCCGAUAUUAACUGUAUCGGGGUUGAUAGUACCCGAAGAGGAAGAGACGGCUAACUCUGUGCCAGCAGCCGCGGUAAUACAGAGGUCUCAAGCGUUGUUCGGAUUCAUUGGGCGUAAAGGGUGCGUAGGCGGCGCGGUAAGUCGGGUGUGAAAUCUCGGGGCUUAACUCCGAAACUGCAUUCGAUACUGCCGUGCUUGAGGACUGGAGAGGAGACUGGAAUUUACGGUGUAGCGGUGAAAUGCGUAGAUAUCGUAAGGAAGACCAGUGGCGAAGGCGGGUCUCUGGACAGUUCCUGACGCUGAGGCACGAAGGUCAGGGGAGCAAACGGGAUUAGAUACCCCGGUAGUCCUGACAGUAAACGGUGCACGUUUGGUGUGGGAGGAUUCGACCCCUUCUGCGCCGGAGCUAACGCGUUAAAC
rnacentral:rRNA from 1 species